rnacentral:lncRNA from 1 species
UCCAAACGAAAUCUCUUCACUCCAAACAACUCAUACACUUUCAGAAACCUUCAAAGGGUGUUUGUAAACUCUAUAUAAAGGCUCUAAACUUUCACACAAACAACACACAAUAUAGAAGAGAGUACAUACAACUUUCAUACAAUUUUCUCAAAAGCUCUCACACUUUUUUUAGAACGUAUCUUUGAACUCUUUGCAACUUGUUCUUAAACUUUCAAGUUAAUUUUGCAAAGUUGCUUCAAGUGUUUCAAAGACUUUUACAAA